UACAGAGGUCUCAAGCGUUGUUCGGAUUCAUUGGGCGUAAAGGGUGCGUAGGCGGCGCGGUAAGUCGGGUGUGAAAACUCGAGGCUUAACCUCGAGAUGUCAUCGGAAACCAUCUGGCUAGAGUCCGGAAGAGGAGAGUGGAAUUCCUGGUGUAGCGGUGAAAUGCGCAGAUAUCAGGAAGAACACCAAUGGCGAAAGCAGCUCUCUGGGACGGUACUGACGCUGAGACGCGAAAGCGUGGGGAGCGAACAGG
rnacentral:rRNA from 1 species